rnacentral:lncRNA from 1 species
GAAAUUUGAUACGACAAGUGGUUAAUUUGGUAGUAAUAUAUAUAUAUAUAUAUAUAGAGAGAGAGAGAGAGAGAGAGAGUCCGGCUGCUAUGCUAUUAAUAGUACGAAGCACUUGGUGCUACUAAGUUUUCCGCCGUUAGAUCUUCCAUUUUCAUCAUUUUCAUCCGUUAGAUUAUAUUAUUUAACCAACCACUCACUCAACCCUAAGGGGCCCACAUCAUCCUAACUGCACAUCUCAUAAUCCAAUGGCCAAAAACUUGGUAGCACCAAUGACUUGGUGCUAUUAAUAGCAUAGUAGUCUAGUUCUAUAUAUAUAUAUAUAUAUUCGGAGUAGUAUUUUGAUAUUUGUUUUUUUUACUACGUACAAAUUG